AUCGCCCGGGAUCUUUUUAGAUGCAGAUUCUGAUUGAGUAGCUCUGGAGCGGGAUAUUCUGUAUUUCUAACAAGCUCCCAGGUGAUGC
rnacentral:miRNA from 1 species